rnacentral:miRNA from 1 species
CAUCACAGACAGAGUUCUAGUU